rnacentral:rRNA from 1 species
GAUGAACGCUGGCGGUGUGCCUAAUACAUGCAAGUCGAGCGAACGGACGAGGAGCUUACUCCUCUGACGUUAGCGGCGGACGGGUGAGUAACACGUGGAUAACCUACCUAUAAGACUGGGAUAACUUCGGGAAACCGGAGCUAAUACCGGAUAACAUGUUGAACCGCAUGGUUCAACAGUGAAAGACGGUCUUGCUGUCACUUAUAGAUGGAUCCGCGUCGCAUUAGCUAGUUGGUAAGGUAACGGCUUACCAAGGCAACGAUGCGUAGCCGACCUGAGAGGGUGAUCGGCCACACUGGAACUGAGACACGGUCCAGACUCCUACGGGAGGCAGCAGUAGGGAAUCUUCCGCAAUGGGCGAAAGCCUGACGGAGCAACGCCGCGUGAGUGAAGAAGGUCUUCGGAUCGUAAAACUCUGUUAUUAGGGAAGAACAAAUGUGUAAGUAACUAUGCACGUCUUGACGGUACCUAAUCAGAAAGCCACGGCUAACUACGUG